CUUUAAAUGCCGGCGGGCUUACACAUGCAGUCGAGCGGGGAAGGGUAGCUUGCUACCUGACCUAGCGGCGGCCGGGUGAGUAAUGCUUAGGAAUCUGCCUAUUAGUGAGGGACAACUUUCCGAAAGGAAUGCUAAUACCGCAUACGCCCUACGGGGGAAAGCAGGGGAUCUUCGGACCUUGCGCUAAUAGAUGAGCCUAAGUCAGAUUAGCUAGUUGGUGGGGUAAAGGCCUUCCAAGGCGACGAUCUGUAGCGGGUCUGAGAGGAUGAUCCGCCACACUGGGACUGAGACACGGCCCAGACUCCUACGGGAGGCAGCAGUGGGGAAUAUUGGACAAUGGGCGAAAGCCUGAUCCAGCCAUGCCGCGUGUGUGAAGAAGGCCUUUUGGUUGUAAAGCACCUUAAGCGAGGAGGAGGCUACCGAGAUUAAUACUCUUGGAUAGUGGACGUUACUCGCAGAAUAAGCACCGGCUAACUCUGUGCCAGCAGCCGCGGUAAUACAGAGGGUGCGAGCGUUAAUCGGAUUUACUGGGCGUAAAGCGUGCGUAGGCGGCUUUUUAAGUCGGAUGUGAAAUCCCUGAGCUUAACUUAGGAAUUGCAUUCGAUACUGGGAAGCUAGAGUAUGGGGAGAGGAUGGUAGAU
rnacentral:rRNA from 1 species